UGUGCCUGGAGAUUCCCAUGGAGCCUGGCAGGCUAUAGUUCAUAGGGUCUCAAAAAAUCGGACACAACUGAAGCAACCUAACAUGCACACAUGGGAAAGUUAUCAUUGCUAACUUUCAAGGUUAUUAAACAUUAAGAAAUAUUUGGUAAAAAAUAAAUUUCACCUGAUAAACCUCUGUUAACAAAACUGCCUAGUUUCUUAGCUUGACCCAUGGAGACUCUGCUUUUCAUAAUAACACUGCUUAAGGAUACCAGAUCUUUUUAAAGCUGUUUUGAAGAUCAAAAAACCAUCUUUAGAGUUCAUUACUAUUAGCAAAACCUCAGUAACAAAAGUCUGAUCUUUGGUGGUGGAGAUGAGGGGGCAAAUGUGGAGAGAGAGGGAAAGGAUGGUUAUUUACCGAGUUCUAAUUGCCGAGCACUGUGUCAGGGCUUCACAUGUUGCUUUCCCCAUCAACCACAUAUAGUUUAAAAGUGGGUCUUCAGAGCUCCAGGUCAAACAGCAGGCUCUUUAUUUCCAUUUCAGGAAUCCCCGUUGCCUCCUUUAAGAGACAAGAAGACCAACAAAUCCUGUCUCGCUGUUCCUAAGGUACAGAAACUGAAGUCAUUUCUCUCUUCCUUUCUUGGAAAAAUGCUGUUAUGUCUGCAGAGCAUAAGUCUGUAAAAACACAAAAAUUAAUACAUCAUAUCCAUCUUCAAAGUAGCCAUAUUUGGGAAUUGGGAAACUACAGUGAGUAUUUUUCCUGCAGCAAAUCAGAGGCUAAGCCAGACGCCCAAGCCCCAGAAUGCACCUGUGUUCGGCAACUGUAUCUGGGGAGUCACCCAGCAUGAUCUACUGUGCUGGCUCUUUCCAAGAGGAGCCUCAGAAGGGAGGAGAAGAAUGUCUGAGGGCUCGUCUGGGGAGAAAUAAAAGAAAUAAUUGUUCUAAAAAAAGGAGAAAUUGGUAUUUCACCGGCAGCCUAAGAUGCACAGAAGCACUUUAAACUCCUGUGGCUAGCAUCCGUCAUCUGAAAAUCACCAACUUGUUUAAAAAUCCCUCACAGGGGUUGUGCUGCUGCUGUCAGGCAGCCUGAAACCGAGUGUGUCUAGAUACUCAUAUGUCCUCGACGGGGGCCCUGGGGGACUCUGGUGUGCUGCGGCCUGAAUGCCUCUUGCCAACAUUCGUAUGGGAACGGCAGAACAAGAAACUCGAUUUCAGCACAAGUCAGCUGCUAUGGAGAAGGAGCCACGUGGAAGUAAGGUUUCGCCAUCAAGGUUUCAAUGAGCCCCAGGUGUACGGCAAAGGGGGGGGGGGAUUUUUGCCCCAGACAAGGCCCCCUAUUGCAGUGCACACUGUUCCCGGUUCUGGCUUUCUUAACACAGAGACGGAAUGAUCCUGCCUGGAAACAACGCAAGUGUUGUGAUACACAGAGCUGUGGGGUGAUGGAAAUCAAACUAACAGUGGUUUAAGCCUUGAAACUGAGCUAUGAUGAAACAUGGCGCGAGGUGGUUUGGGAAGCUAAAGUGCCUUGACUGACCCAAGCAGGAUUUCUCAGUCAGGAAAGUAUAUGAGGGUCACCUCGACUAGACAGCUGCACCGGACGGGGGUCUUCACGUGAGCUACAGGUGAAAGAGGAGAGAGUUGAGAAGAACAAAACAAGCAGACCAGCACUGAGAAAAGGAAAAAGAGCUUACUAAUGGUUAACUGAAAUGACCUAAGGGAUGGAGGCAUCUGGAGAAAACAGAUAGAAGAACAGAGCCCUUGAGAACAUAAACAGACAGAAACCUAACAAGGGACAAAUUUAGAUUCAAUGAAAUCGUAAGCAAGCCGCCAUCAUGAAACAGAGAGUUGUGGGUCGGACUCAGAGCAUGAGAACAAAGUCUGAAACGGGAGUCCGAGCCUCAGUUACCCUGGGAGAAAAAGCCUCAUGCAAGAAUUCUGGAACCCUGGUAGAGAAGAUAGCUGGAAAUCUCAGCAUUCUUGCCAUUGUUGAAAAUACUAUCCUUCUUCCUUGGUAUCUUUAUCAAGAAAAUUGACCUUGUAUUGCUGAAACCUCUAUCCUACUGAAAAGAAGUGAUGAGAGCAAGAUAGCCUUGUGUUGUUCCUGUGCUUGGGAAUGGCAUUUUAGUCCUUCCCCACUAAGUAAAAUUUUAGCUUAUAAGUUUUUGUAGCUUCCUUUUAUCAGUUGAUAUAAUUGCCUUGUAUUCCUUGUUUUUAUCACACUUGAAAUUGAAUUUUGGUAAGUGCAUUUCCUGGAUUUGUUAAGAUGAUCAUAUAUUUCUUCUGUUUUACCUUAAUGAUAUGGAUUACAUUGAUUGUUUUUUAACUAUUAUUUGAGAAUUGCAUUUCUGAGAUAAAGUCUACCUGCUUAUGAUGUAUCAUCCUAUUUGUAUGUUGCUCACUUUGAUUUGCUAAAAUUUUAUUAAGGACUUGUUAAAAAAUUUUGUUCAGGAUUUUAUAUCUGUGCUCAUGAGGAAUAUUGGUGUUUAGUUUUAUUUUCUUGGAAUGUCUUUGUCUAAUAUUCAUACCAGAGUAAUAAUGGCAUCACAAAAUAUUAGGAAGUUUUUGUUCCUUGCCUAUGAUUUGGGAAAUUUUGAGCAGAGCUGAUAUUUCUUUAUGAAACAUUUGGUAUAAUUCAUCAUUGAAAGCAUCUGCACCCUAGAGUUUUUGUGGGAUAAUUUUUACCUACAUAUUCAGUUUCUUUACUAGAAAAGGGCUAAUUGGGUUCUUAUGACUUCUCAAGUGCUCUGUGGUAGUUUUGGUCUUUUGAAGAGCACUCCACCUAUAUUAUUGAACAUAUUGCCUAGAAUUGUCCAUAACUUUCUCUUAUCUUUUUAAAAUAUCAGUUCUUUGGUAGUACUGUCUCCUCUUCUGCUCAUGAUGUGGAUUAUUUUUAUCUUUUCAUAUCAACCCAAUUACAUGUUUUUAUUUUAUUAAUAUUUUCAACAGCUCUUGGUAGGCAGAUACAUAGUAUUUGUCUUUUUGUUCAUAUAUAUAAAACUGCAAACAUGUUAUUAUUACAUCUUUUUUCACAAAAUGGCAAAAUAGCUUAAAAUAGUUCAGAUAGUCUUAAAAGUGUUGCUGGAAAUCUCAAUGCAAAUAUUACUAUUGAGGAAAAAAUUAUAAAAUUAAGUAGUUAAAACAGUGUCUGUGCAAAUAUGGAGGAUGAAUUUGAAUGUUAAAGUGAAUCUAUAAGUAUCAUGAUUUUGUAAAGAUAGUUAAAAUGUAUUGCAACUUGUAAAUAUAAUGACUUUAAGUUGAAAAAAAUUUUCAUAUUCUUUAAUUCAUUGAUACAAUGUUUUUCAAUAGUGGCUUAAAAUCAUCAGAAUUUCAGCAGAGUAUAAAGAUCAUAAAAUAAUUUAUUUUUUCUAGUACAAAUUUAUACCUUUCCAGUUAGAACUGAUGAAUUUUGCUACUAAAGAGAGGUGAAAUAAAAUAUAUUCUAAAUUUCACCAAGCUAAAGAUAGCUGUAAUUCAAGUUAUUGCAGAGAGAAUAUAAAACAAGUUGUAAAGUUAAUGAUAGUAUGUACAGAAGGAAAGAAAAGUAUAUUAAUUAUCUACUGCUAUGUCAUAAAAUAACCCAAGACCCAGAAACUUAAACCAACUUAUAUUUAUUAUCUCAUGAUUCCUAUAGAUCAGAAAUUUAGGUGUUACUUACCUGGGUAGUUUUAGGCCAGGGUCUCUAAAGAAGUUGUAGUCAAGAUGUUAACCAGGACUGUCGUCAUCAGAAAGCUUGACUAGGGACUGGGGAAUCUGCUUCCAAAACAGCUUACUUUGUCAGGAAGCCUCACUUCUUUUAUGAUUGUUGGAUGAACUCAGGUCCUUGACAUGUGGCCUCUCUAUGUGGCCAUUUGAGUGUUUUCACAAAAUGGCAGCUAGAUUCCCCUGGAGCAUGUGAUCUGAGAGAGAGCAAGGAAGAAGCCUUAUUGCUCUCUAAGACCUAGUCUCAGAAGCCCUAACAUAUUCUAUUUAUUAGAUUUGAGCUACUAAGUCCAGUUCACACCAAGGGGAAGGGAAUUAGUGUUGACCUUUGGAGGAAUGUAAAAAAAACUGAUGGGCAUAUUUUAAAAUCAUAAUACAAAAGCUAUGGUAAAAUUCAUCUAUAAUCUAAUGCUUUGGGAUUUCAGUAUCAUACUGUAUGAAAAGUAAUUAGUAUGAUGUGUGCUGUUAGCUGACAUUUUGCUUUAAAGCUUGACCAAACCACAUUUGGUAUACAGAUAAUAAUAUGUAAAAAAAAAAAAAAAAAAAAUAUAUAUAUAUAUGUAAGUGCUGGGAUGAUGUGUUCAUUCAUCAGUGAAAAGUCAUGUCAUAGAAGAGUUUUAUUUGUGUAGUGGAUGAUCACUUUAUGCACUGUGGUAUAGAUUGUCUAAGAAUAAGUACUGCAUGUUACACCAGUUAUAUGUAUAGAAAUAAGGGUGUUCAUUACACAAAGAAAAACGUUGCUCUUAUUUGCAAACUGCUUAAUUCACAGAAUACAGGUGAUGGUCAACUACAUUAUUUGUAGCAUUCCUUCAAUUUUGAGAGAAAUAGUGACAUUUAAAUA